rnacentral:rRNA from 1 species
GAGGAAUAUUGCGCAAUGGGGGAAACCCUGACGCAGCGACGCCGCGUGAGUGAGGAAGGUUUUCGGAUCGUAAAGCUCUGUCAGAAGGGAAGAAGUGUUAUAUGUUUAAUACGCA